CUUGUUUGGUAACCAUUUCACUUUCAGUUUUCUGUUUCAGUUUUCAGAAUUUUCAAAAAUUGGACAUGGAAGUAUGUUUGAUUGUCUAUUUUUAUUUGCAAAAAGAGAGAAUGACAUUCAAAAUUUUUGAAAAUUGGAGAAGUAGUAAAACUGAGCUUUCACUUUUUCUAAAAGCAAAAACGGGCUGCCAAAACUUCCUCUACAGUGCCCAGAGCAUGUUCAAGUCAUGGGGGGAACCUUUUUUUUUGGGUCUCCAAACCCAAACUCAGGUCAUUGAAGAUACCACACUCUCUCUCUCAAAGUGCAGUAACCUCUGAUCCCGAACUGCAACAACCUCUGAUCGACCUCAAGUUCUCAAUCAACUCUCAAGUUCCUCUCUCUCGACUCUCUCUGGUCUCGACCCUCUCUGAUCUCGACCCUCUCUCUGAUGACUGAUAGACUCUGACUCUCUCCAAUUCUACGACAGUGCUAUCUCGAUCGACCCAGUCUCCAACUCUACGCCAAUGCUUCAUCUUUCUCCCCUCUCUCUCGAUUGACUUCAAUCACAGACUCACAAGAGGGUAUAUGGAGGAGGUUCUACGUUUGGUUAUUUCUCAUGUGAGAGCCAGGUUAACCAAAUUCUAUGCUCUAAUUGGAAUUUAGCUUCCUGUAUUUUUUUCCUUAGUCUUGUUUUGUUUCCCUGAAGUGGGGAUUGGGUGAGGUUUUCCUUGUUACCUAGCUGUUGUUUGGAUGGGAGUUUGUAUGUAGGGAGGGUAUGCCUUCCUUUUUGCUGUAUUUUGUUUUGAUUCUCUUGUAAUCGUGGUGAUUGGAAUGUGCCCAAUAAAAUUUAACUUACCCAAAAAAAAUAAAA